GCGCCCGUAGCUCAAUUGGAUAGAGCAGCGGACUUCUAAGCCGCGGGUUGUAGGUUCGAGUCCUACCGGGCGCGCCA
rnacentral:tRNA from 1 species